GGCGCUUGGGGUUCGCGAGGUGCGGAACGGAGGUGGGAGCCAGCAAUCUCGGCGGUGGUAUCAUCUCCAUUUUACAAACAAGGGACCUGAAGCUCAGAUAGAAAAUGGUACAUGAGAUAAAUUAUCUUCAAGCAGUCACAUAGCCCCCACACCAAACUAAAGGAAACAAGCAAACCAGGAUUCUUGUAGUAAGAAGAAAGGAAAACUAAUAGCAUCUGCAAUGGACAGUUUUAUUUAUUUUGUCUUAUUUGGGUCCAGUAAUAUCUAGAUAGCAGUGAAACUAUUGAUUCUAUUUAGCACUGACAGAGACAAGAAGUGUUUUUCAGCAUAGAUACCUGUAUCUUCUAUGUAGCCCAGUGCCUUGUAUACAGAAGUUGAUUAAUAAAUGUACAAA